UGACCUUAAAACCGAGCAAUCAAGACAAGACAUCGAGCACGCUCGGCAAGGGGCGGUUUUAGAUGAGAUGAACCUGAUGAUGCGAUAGUUGAUGUUGCACUUUCCGCCUCAGCCUCCUCAGUUUGGCAACAUGAGUCACCCUUCUUUUAUCAUCAUCUAAAACAUUGAGGCCAAUGUUUAGUUCAAGUGUGGGGGAGGUUUUAUUAUGCUUUUCAUUUUAUGUUUUUUAUUUUAUUAUUUCCCAUUUUUACUGUUUUACAUUUGGUUUGUUUUUAC
rnacentral:lncRNA from 1 species